rfam:Desulfosporosinus youngiae DSM 17734 chromosome, whole genome shotgun sequence.
UAGGUAGGCGUGGGCGAUCCUUUCGGAAUGGCAAUAAGUCAUGCAAUGGCCGCAGGCAUGGGCGGAGUACGUACUGCCGGAGAUCUGGUAGCACGUAUGC